rnacentral:rRNA from 1 species
GACGAACGCUGGCGGCGUGCUUAACACAUGCAAGUCGAACGGAGUGGCGAACGGGUGAGUAACACGUGGGUGACCUGCCCUGCACUUCGGGAUAAGCCUGGGAAACUGGGUCUAAUACCGGAGAGUGUGGGAUGGGCCCGCGGCCUAUAAGCUUGUUGGUGGGGUAAUGGCCUACCAAGGCGGCGACGGGUAGCCGGCCUGAGAGGGUAGACGGCCACAAUGUGACUGAGACACGGACCAGACUCCUUCGGGGGGCAUGAGUGGGGAAUAUUGCACAAUGGGCGGAAGCCUGAUGCAGCGACGACGCGUGGGGGAUGACGGCCUUCGUGUUGUAAACUCCUUUCACCAUCGACGCGGUAGAUGGAGAAGAAGCACCGGCUAACUACGUGCCAGCAGCCGCGGUAAUUC